AUACGGAGGGGGCUAGCGUUGUUCGGAAUUACUGGGCGUAAAGCGCGCGUAGGCGGGUUGGCAAGUUGAAGGUGAAAUCCCAGGGCUCAACCCUGGAACUGCCUCCAAAACUGCCAGUCUUGAGUUCGGAAGAGGUGAGUGGAAUUCCUAGUGUAGAGGUGAAAUUCGUAGAUAUUAGGAAGAACACCAGUGGCGAAGGCGACUCACUGGUCCGAUACUGACGCUGAGGUGCGAAAGCGUGGGGAGCGAACAGGAUUAGAAACCCCAGUAGUCC
rnacentral:rRNA from 1 species